GACGAACGCUGGCGGCGUGCUUAACACAUGCAAGUCGAACGGAAAGGCCCUGCUUUUGUGGGGUGCUCGAGUGGCGAACGGGUGAGUAACACGUGAGUAACCUGCCCUUGACUUUGGGAUAACUUCAGGAAACUGGGGCUAAUACCGGAUAGGAGCUCCUGCUGCAUGGGGGGGGUUGGAAAGUGUCGGCGGUUGGGGAUGGACUCGCGGCUUAUCAGCUUGUUGGUGGGGUAGUGGCUUACCAAGGCUUUGACGGGUAGCCGGCCUGAGAGGGUGACCGGCCACCUUGGGACUGAGAUACGGCCCAGACUCCUACGGGAGGCAGCAGUGGGGAAUAUUGCACAAUGGGCGGACGCCUGAUGCAGCAACGCCGCGUGCGGGAUGACGGCCUUCGGGUUGUAAACCGCUUUCGCCUGUGCCGAAGCGUGAGUGACGGUAAUGGGUAAAGAAGCACCGGCUAACUACGUG
rnacentral:rRNA from 1 species